UCCUUAGUAUCUUAUCUCUCAGCCCUUGUUCUUUAGGAACCGUGAUCCUUCCAUUAAUUAGCAAAGUUCCAUCCUCUGCCAAGUAGUAUCCAGCAUUAUUUGGCCCGCCUUGUCCUCUGAGUUCCUCAGCAAUCUUCAAUAGCUUCUCAUCCUUGAGUUGUUCUUCUCGAAUUCUCUGAAUCAAGCUGACCUGGUUCACCGCUUGAAGUGCCAAUGGCUCGCUUGUCUGUUCUUCCAAAACGACCAACUUCACUUGUUUCAACUCUUGGUUCAACAG
rnacentral:lncRNA from 1 species